CUUGCUUGGUGGCGCACUUGGACAAGUUCUUGGUGGGCUAACGUAUACUUUUAAUUUACCAAAUUAAUGUUACCAAGCCCGCUACUAAAGCGGGCUUUUUGUU
rfam:Vibrio coralliilyticus strain 58 chromosome I, complete sequence.